GUAAAUAAUAAAGGGCGUAUGGUGGAUGCCUAGGCUCUCAGAGGCGAUGAAGGACGUGAUAAGCUGCGAAAAGCUCCGUUUAGGUGCAAAUAACCUUUGAUGCGGAGAUCUCCGAAUGGGAUAACCCAAUAUGUUGAAGACAUAUUAUACCGUAAGGUAGGCAAACGCAGGGAACUGAAACAUCUAAGUACCUGCAGGAGAAGAAAACAAACGUGAUUCCCCCAGUAGCGGCGAGCGACCGGGGAUAAGCCCAAACCGUUAUUGUUUCGGCAGUAGCGGGGUAGUAGGACUGCGACAUUGAUGAAAUAAAUGAAAUGGAACACUUUGGAAAAUGUGAUCACAGAGGGUGAUAAUCCCGUACAUGUAAGUUUAUGAAUCAUAGCAGACUCCUGAGUAAGUCGGGACACGUGUAAUCCUGACCGAAUCCGCCGGGACCAUCCGGCAAGGCUAAAUACUCCUGAGAGACCGAUAGUGAACCAGUACCGUGAGGGAAAGGUGAAAAGCACUUCGAACAGAAGAGUGAAAUAGUCCCUGAACCCAUACGCCUACAAGCAGUCGGAGCCGCUUCGUGCGGUGACGGCGUGCCUUUUGCAUAAUGAGCCUACGAGUUACUCAUCACCAGCGAGGUUAAGUACUUCAGGUACGUAAGCCGAAGCGAAAGCGAGUCUGAAUAGGGCGUCAAGUUGGUGGUGGUAGACGCGAAACCUUAGUGAUCUACCCAUGGGCAGGGUGAAGGUUUGGUAACACAAACUGGAGGCCCGAACCGGUAAACGUUGAAAAGUUUUCGGAUGACCUGUGGGUAGGGGUGAAAGGCCAAUCAAACUGGGAAAUAGCUCGUACUCUCCGAAAUGCAUUUAGGUGCAGCCUCUGUUGUUUUGUUCUAGAGGUAGAGCUACUGAUUGGAUGCGAGGGCUUCACCGCCUAUCAAAUCCGGCCAAACUCCGAAUGCUAGAACAUAAAGACAGGGAGUGAGCCAGCGGGUGCUAAGGUCCGUUGACGAAAGAGGGAGAACUCAGACCAUCAGCUAAGGUCCCCAAUUAUAUGCUAAGUUGGAAUAAAAACGGGGUGGGACUGCUUAGACAGCUAGGAUGUUGGCUUGGAAGCAGCCAUUCAUUUAAAGAGUGCGUAACAGCUCACUAGUCGAGCGGUCCUGCAUGGAUAAUACGCGGGCAUAAGCAUAUAACCGAAGCUAUGGGAUUGUAGAUGAUACAAUCGGUAGGAGAGCAUUCCAUUCAGCAUAGAAGCAGUAUCGUGAGGUAUUGUGGAGCGGAUGGAAAAGCAAAUGUAGGCAUAAGUAACGAUAAUGCGGGUGAGAACCCCGCACGCCGAAAGAUCAAGGAUUCCCCGGCAAUGUCAAUCAUCCGGGGGUAAGUCGGAUCCUAAGGGUAAGCCGAGUGGCGAUCCCGAUGGUAAACAGGUUAAUAUUCCUGUACUGAUCAUAACUGCGAUGCAGCGACGCAGAGGUGACACUGCUGCGUACUGACGGAAUAGUACGUUGAAACCCGUAUUCUUUGAUACCGGUAGUGAAGCACGCCGGUAGAGAUGAAAGGUGAUAGUACCGCAAUGCUUCGGUUGCGCGGAUAAUGCAGGUAAGCUGACUGCCAAGAAAACCUGCUAAGCUUCAGGUAAUGAUCAUCCGUACUGUAAACGGACACACGUGAUCAGGUAGAAAAUACUAAGGCGCUCGAGAGAUUCAUGGUUAAGGAACUAGGCAAAAUGGUCCUGUAACUUCGGGAUAAAGGACGCUCUUGUGAAAGAGCCGCAGAUAAUAGGCCCAGGCGACUGUUUACCAAAAACACAUGGCUAUGCUAAUUCGCAAGAAGAUGUAUAUGGCCUGACACCUGCCCGGUGCCGGAAGGUUAAGAGGAGAGCUCAGAGGUAACUCGAAGGUUUGAAUUGAAGCCCCGGUAAACGGCGGCCGUAACUAUAACGGUCCUAAGGUAGCGAAAUUCCUUGUCGGGU
rnacentral:rRNA from 1 species